GGAUGUGAAGGUUAUUUGGCUUCGACAUCUGUUAGCCCUGACUGCCAGGGUUGAUUCAGCUGAUCUGGCUGUCCAAGCUGGUGUCCCCUUCCUCUGUCACCACCCCAUGUGUGUCCAUCCCCCAUCUGCAUGCUCAGUUGAAGAGGACAACUUUCCCAAAUAGGUCCAGACCAGUUUUCAAUGGAGGGUAUACGAGUAGCUGUGUUCCCUUGCUAGAACCUCCAAACGUGCUCCUUAGUGGCCCCUUACAUAGGGGCUGUCCUGCUUCCCAAGCUUCAGCUCUACCCCCAAACCCAGCUACUUUCUCAAUUCUGUGAGCU
rnacentral:snRNA from 1 species